GUGUUGAAACCAGGAUGGGGGAGUUGGGAGAGGUUGCGAACUCCAGUUGUACGGGCAUCCCCACGUCAGCCCCCUGUCCUCCAUUACCUGGCUGGUUGGGGACACGUGGCUCGGUGCCGUCUGCACCAUUGCCGUUUUCUUUGGUUGGGAAUGGGGUGGUUCCCUGUUUGCCUCAGCUCUGUUGAUCCUGCCUGUUGCUCAAUCCGUAGACAUUAGUAUGGGCAAAGAUGUGGGAUUUUAGGGAGAACUGGUUUAAUGUCCCUGGAUCUGUAGACAAUAAUCAGACUCUUAAUUUCAAAUCAGAAGUGUUUAUUGACAGACAUCAGGUGGCAUGGCUAGAGAAAGCCAGUUCUUGCAAACUGUCUGUAGGUAAAACCUUUUAUUCCCAAGGCGUCCUCUCUCUCCCGGCCCCACUUUCUCACCCCAUAUCAAAGGCAGAGUAAAUAGGACAGGAAUGUUACAACCGUUACUUUCUUCAAGGCCAGUGUGAAAGAUAAGGGCCGAAGCUGGCUCUUAUUUGCCUCUAGUUCGCUACCUGUUGCAGAACAAGGGAAGGCGGGAUACUGAAAGUAAAUAUCCAUUAACAUGACAGAAUCCUCUUUGAUGUCGGGAAGACCCUUCUUGUCAACACCAUGGAAUCUGAUCUCAGUGCUGGAAACCCCAGGACUGUGGGCGAGGAUACAUCCGUUUGUUUAGAGGUUCUAAGGUACAGACCAUGAAGAAGAAAAACACAAUUGGGAAUAUUUAACCAUACAAAGUUUGUUUGGUUAUUAUUUUUUGCUGUCGCUUCCCAUAUAUUUUAGUCUGUAUCUUGAUAGAGGAAUAAAGGUUACUGAGUGUUUUGUUUU